GAAUUGUUCGCAAUGGGCGCAAGCCUGACGACGCAACGCCGCGUGGAGGAUGAAGAUCUUCGGGUCGUAAACUCCUUUCGAUCGAGACGAAUGACCUUCGGGUUCAUACCCCGGAGGAAUGACGGUACCGCGAGAAGAAGCCCCGGCUAACUCCGUGCCAGCAGCCGCGGUAAUACGGGGGGGGCAAGCGUUGUUCGGAAUUACUGGGCGUAAAGGGCUCGUAGGUGGCCAACUAAGUCAGACGUGAAAUCCCUCGGCUUAACCGGGGAACUGCGUCUGAUACUGGAUGGCUUGAGUUUGGGAGAGGGACGCGGAAUUCCAGGUGUAGCGGUGAAAUGCGUAGAUAUCUGGAGGAACACCGGUGGCGAAGGCGGCGUCCUGGACCAAUACUGACACUGAGGAGCGAAAGCCAGGGGAGCAAACGGG
rnacentral:rRNA from 1 species